GGAAGACGCCCCAUUUUUCACCUGGGUGGUGUCCCUGCUGGAAGGGGAUGGUGAUCCCCUGGCUAGCCUGUGUGAUGGCCUUGACGUGGACAGCACAGAGGGAGAGGCCACA